GCAACAUGCAUGACAAUAAUCAAUGAAUAUCCAGUAUAAAAUGAUAUGCAAUACAAAGAUAUGGCUACACAUGUCUCAACGGCUAAAACAGCAUUUUCUGUCAAGACUUUAUUUAUGACUAUCUUUCACAGACAUAGAGAAAGUUUUACGCAGAGAACAGAAUUCCUCAGAGUGCAGCGUAAGGUCGUAAAGUUUAGCUGACAGUUAGAAUAACCCUUUCAAUGCUGGCUAAAUCUCCUAGGUAGUUAAGAUCUAUUCUUAUGUCAUUUUAAAUAAAAUAACAUUUUAAACCAGUUCAUUAGUCAUUUCCAGGAACUAUCCAAUAAGAGAAUCUACCAUAUUAUAUAAGCAGAUUUUAAUUUGUCUAAAAGAUAUCUUAUCUUAAUUUAGAGCAAAUCAAUACAUCUGGAUAAAAACAGCGGUAUGCUAACACGUGAUAUCACAUCAAUAUAUAAUUAUUCUUAAUUCCACCUGCAGAAUGGAAUGUUUAUAACUAUAUAUUCUUAGUUAACUAAGAUUUCUUAAUAUGGAAAUCUGACCGUGCUUUAUCCAGUCAUAUAUAAUGCUAUUAAUACAUUUUAAUUAAUUUAAUUAAUUAAAUGAAACCAGUAUAAUUACCAGUUGAGUAGAUAUUUCAUCCAAUUGGUAGUCUCAGGAACUUAUUUGGAUGUCUCUUUGCAUGGAGGUGUGUAGGUAAUAGUGAAAGGUGGUGUUGGUUAGGAAGUCAGUGAAAUUCUAAGUGUUAGAGUUUUAAGAGUAGAGUGUUAGUCUCAGAUGUUGUCCGAGUUGGAGUCCCCAAACUUCCAAUUCCUCUCUCCUCUUUUUCUUUCUUUGCCUCCUUGUAUAUCUCUAUCUUCCCUUUGUCUUAACUUUUAAAGGGCCAGACUCUCUGUUCGUCAUCAGUUGAUAACCCAAUAGAAGCACUAGAGGUGUGGUUAUCUUCCAGAUCGCAAUUUAGUUAUUUGGUCUAUAGAGGGCAGUCUUGUCCCACUAAACAUACCUAUCCAGGAAAGAGUUAACUUUUCUUGGUGGCUAUUUUGACGUCAUUUUGCGUUAUCUUUAUAGUGCCAUAACUUAAAAUUUCAAAGGGUUUCUUUAAGUUUUUUGUCCAGACUGUGUCUGCAAAUCUGAGUUUUGACCCGUAACUUACAAUGGGACCUUAUAGAUAUAGACAGUUAAAUUUUAUUAUUUAAUCUUCUGUCACAAUUGUCUGGGUUUAGAUUUGAUUAUAUUCCAUUAGCAUUAGACAGUCUGUCCAACCCCCUUUCUUCUUAUCACUUUUGUUUAUAAUAUGCAUUCCUUUAGCUCUGGGAAAGUGGUUAAUUUACAGAUAGAAAUCUUGUGUCUUUUUGUUAACUUGAAAAUAACAAAAUGGAGUCUGGUCUGUUCAGAGUGACUCAGAAUAUACACUUUUAAUUUCUAUCAUAGCACAAAAUGUCUGCCGAUAUAAAUACCCUGACAGUAUCAAACUGUCUGGAGAGUGCAUCUGCCUUGGUAUUCUUUGUCCCGGGCCUGUAUGUAAUUAUAAAAUUAAACUGGGAGAGGAAUAAUGACCAUCUAGCGUGUCGGGAGGACAAUCUCUUAGCAUCCCCAAUAUAAGCCAAAUUCUUAUGAUCGGUAAAAAUCAAAAGUGGCUCUUGGGAACCUUCCAAGAGAUGCCUCCAUUCCUUAAGAGCGAGAACAAUGGCCAGUAAUUCCCUAUUCCCGAUGUCAUAAUUUCUCUCUGCUGGAGUUAAUUUUCGAGAGAAAAAGCCACGGGGAUGUAACGGUGCAUCAGGACUCUCUCUUUGAGACAGAAUGGUUCCUACUCCUGUCUCUGACGCAUCUACUUCUAAAAUAAAAGGUUUUGGUCAGAUCAGGGUGUGUCAGGACAGGUGCUGAAGCAAAUAAAGAUUUUAAUCUUUCAAAUGCCUCCUUUGCUUCUUUGGACCAUAAAUUACAAUUUGCUCCUUUCUUGGUUAGGUUGGUGAUAGCAGCGAUUACUGAUGAGAAAUUCCUAAUGAACUUACGGUAAUAAUUUGCAAAACCUAUAAAGCGUUGUGUAGCUUUAAGGCCUUUGGGUAACGGCUAUUGCAAGACUGCUUCCAGUUUGUGUGGAUCCAUUUUGAAACCUGAAGGGGAUAUAACAUAGCCAAGAAACUGUAUCUCAGUCUGGUCAAACUGGCAUUUUUCCAGCUUACGGUAUAAGCCAUUUUUUAACAGGGUUUUUAGUAAGAUUCUCACAUGUUCGUGAUGAGUUUCUAGGUCUGGGGAAUAGAUGAGAAUAUCGUCUAGAUACACUAGUACGAAUAUGUGACGAUAUUCUCUAAGGACAUCGUUAAUUAAGUCCUGAAAUACCGCUGGGGCAUUGCAUAGGCCAAACGGCAUGACCAGGUAUUUAUAAUGUCCCAUUCUCGUAUUAAACGCGGUCAUCCACUCAUGCCCUUCCAUAAUUCUGACUAGGUUGUAUGCGCUCCUCAGAUUGAGUUUUGUGAAUACUCGGCACCCCUCAACCUAUCAAAUAGUUCAGAAAUAAGGGGAAUGGGAUAGGCGUUUUUAAUGGUAAUUUUAUUUAGACCCCUAUAAUCAAUACACGGUCGUAGGUCUCCUUUUUUAGAAACGAAGAACCCCCCAGCCCCAGCAGGUGAAGCGGAUCUUCUUAUGUGACCCUUUUUGAGAGCAUCCUUAAUGUAUUCUUCUAAACAAAGGGUUUCUUGAGGAGAAAGUGUAUAAACUCCUCCUUUAGGGGGCAUAGUGCCAGGUAACAAAUUAAUGGCACAGUCGUAGGGCCUAUGUGGAGGUAAUACUUCCGACUGAACCUUGUUAAAUACUUCUUUUAAGUCCAAAUACUGCGGUGGGAUUUCUGUGGUUAAGGGAGGCGCUAUAGGUACAUUGAUGGUACCGAUUCGUUUAGGCACCUGUUUUAUGCAAUAACCUCUGUAACUCUUUCCCCAACUCACAAUCUCUCCUUCAACCCUAGAUUGUAUUUUAUUUGUCUUCACUGAGUGCCUCGACCCCUCGAGGCACUUUGCACACAAAGUAUCAGAAGCCUGCCCGAUGGCUUCUGAUGCUCUGCUACACUGCCGGGCGCCAUUUAGGGCAACCUGUAUGUGAUCGCUCCCAGGGAGCGAUCACUCGGCGGCCCAGCAGACACAGGUAUUGCAGGAUGCCUCAACAUCGAGGAAUCACUGCAAUACCCUUAGAGCGUCUGGAAGCGGUCAUGAUCGCUUCAAGUGCUCCUGUUUGCGGACCGUUUUUUGUCGGACGUACCUUGUACAUCCGUGGUCCUUAAGGGGUUAAACAAAACUGCUAACAGAGUGAAAAGGUCUGAAGCAGGCACGGCCUAUCAAAUUACCAAACUAUCAAAGAAUGCAAAAACUGCUACCUCGAUGUUCUAUGCUUUGCAAUGCAUUCAAAGAUGAUGAAUUAAUGUUAAUCAAUUACAUUUAUCUUAACCUUAAAAUUGAUAUACUACAUAAAUGUAGAAUGAAUAAAUAGAAAUAGGUAUAAAGACCUACACGUACCAGGAGAUCCCUGAACCAAUAGAAAAUGAACAUAAAAUAAAAUAGUUGGAAGAAUUAACAAUAUCAAACACAUGAAUGAAAUACAAUUAUAAAAAUGAACACUAGAUGUCAGCCAAGUGUUAGGUGAUCUCCCAUAAGAGGGGGAUGUUGACUAAACAAUCACUAAUCUGCAAAUCUAAAGUGUUGAAAUAAAUCCAAAUUCUGACCUGGAUGUUCUAUGGCUGAAAUAUACAUCUAUGCAGUCUCAUUUAUCACUCAGUAGUCCAAUACUUUGUGAAUAGUGAUGUCGCGAACACGAAAUUUUCGGUUCGCAAACGCGAACUUCCCCAAAUGUUCGCGAACCGCCAUAGACUUCAAUGGGUAGGCGAAUUUUAAAACACACAGGGACUCUUUCUGGCCACAAUAGUGAUGGAAAAGUUGUUUCAAGGGGAUUAACACCUGGACUGUGGCAUGCCGGAAGGGGAUCCAUGGAAAAUUACACAGUUGAUGCAGAGUCUGGUCUUAAUCCAUAAAGGUCAUAAAUCACCUAACAUUCCUAAAUCACAAUGGAUAUGGAUUGACACCUGACAUAUUGACACCUUGACACAUGGAUUGACACCUGUCCUCAGAGACCCUGAUAAACACUGACACAGAGCAGAAUAGGGACUGUUCCCUCUACAUAGGGUCACUUGGCAGAUAUGGAUUGACACCUAUCCUAAGGAUCCCUGAUACACACUGACACAGAGCAGAAUAGGGAAUAUUCACUAAAUGCCAAACAUUGUUAUACAGGGGAAUAUUCAGUAAAUAAGGAUAAGGGGGGACCUACUGUCCUCCCGCCCCCACCCGUGAGCGGUGGGUGGGUGCCAUAAAAAUAAUGAGGGGGGGACCUACUGUAUGAUGUUGUAUCGAUCAGGUAGUUGUAAGGGUUACGCCCUCUUCACAGUGACAGACCAAACUCCCCAUUUAACGCACCGCAAACAACCGCAAACAGUCCAUUUGCACAACCGCAAACUCCCCAUUAGCACAAGGUUGGAUACCAAGGUAGCCAUGUCCCGUUCCUUGUCCUCACUGAUGUCAUUGAAGGUCUCUUCCUCCACCCAGCCACGUACAACACCAAGGGUCCCCGAAAGGUGACAACAAGCCCCCUGGGACGCCUGCUGUGUUUGGUCUUCCACCUCCUCAAAGCCACCUUCCUCCUCUGACUCCUCUUCUUCAGACUCCUCUCUCUGCAUUGCCUCUCUCUACGUUAUUCUAAGGUGUGUUAAGUAGUAUUAUUCUUAUCAGUUUAAUUCCUGUUAUGUGCCUUUUUUUUUUGGUUUGGUUUUUGAAACCACAGUGCAGCACCAGAGGCCCAAAAAAUUAGG